AUUGAACGCUGGCGGCAGGCUUAACACAUGCAAGUCGAGCGGGGGAAGGUAGCUUGCUACUGGACCUAGCGGCGGACGGGUGAGUAAUGCUUAGGAAUCUGCCUAUUAGUGGGGGACAACAUCUCGAAAGGGAUGCUAAUACCGCAUACGUCCUACGGGAGAAAGCAGGUGAUCUUUGGACCUUGCGCUAAUAGAUGAGCCUAAGUCGGACUAGCUAGUUGGUGGGGUAAAGGCCUACCAAGGCGACGAUCUGUAGCGGGUCUGAGAGGAUGAUCCGCCACACUGGGACUGAGACACGGCCCAGACUCCUACGGGAGGUAGCAGUGGGGAAUAUUGGACAAUGGGGGGAACCCUGAUCCAGCCAUGCCGCGUGUGUGAAGAAGGCCUUAUGGUUGUAAAGCACUUUAAGCGAGGAGGAGGCUACUUUAGUUAAUACCUAGAGAUAGUGGACGUUACUCGCAGAAUAAGCACCGGCUAACUCUGUGCCAGCAGCCGCCGUAA
rnacentral:rRNA from 1 species